UUACGUAUUAGCGUCACCGGAGUUGACACUCAGUUAUUUUUUGUAUUGUUGUUGCCUUGUUGUUUGCAGUGUUUAUUAUUUUUUAGUGCUCGCCGUCGAAAGCGGCGGUCUCUCGCAAGCAAACCUGUGUUCCAUCGAUUGGCCGGUUAGUUUGAAACAUAGAAGAUGAUUCAGCAAGGCACCAACAAUACAAAAGUUAACUGAGUACCCAAGCGAAAAAUAAAAUAGCGGUCCAUUGAAUUUCGGCUCCGGUGAUGCAUUAGCGUCGCCGUUGUCGAAAGUCGGACUCACGUGAAUUUUGGGCUGCUGUGCUUUUGGUGUGCGGUGUGUCCAAGAGGUAAAAGAAAAACAAAGUUCCAAGCUGACAACGAUCAGAAAAAACACAAGAAAAACAGUGAACCGUUCCAUUAUUUGAACUUUUUUUUUGUUGAGGAAUGUAAGUGAGAACAACUUCUUGAAAGACUUACUUCAGAGUGUGUAUUACAAACGGGAGGAGCUUGAACGAGCAACGCGCGCGAAAAAAAAUUUCACCAUCAUUUAUAGCGCGAAAAAAGUUACAUAUCAUUCCCAUAACGGGUUCGACCGUCGGCGGAAACAUUACCACAGAUUGGAUUAGCUGGGCCAGGAAAAAUUCCAUUACAAGAAGUUGUAAAUUGUGACCAUUGAAGGCAAUCACUAAACAGGAACGGCUGAAGGUGCUGAUUGAAGACAUCUUUCCAGCGAAUGGUGACAUCAUAAUGGACGACGAGACCAACUUGACGCUGGACGACAACGUCUGGCAGGGGACCCAGUACUUGAUGUCCGCCACCAAGUAGAUAAGAAAUGGCGUUAAAUAUCUCUCACGCCAAUUUCCCGAAGAAGAUCCUACUGUGGCUGACGAUUAGCACGAAGGGAAUGUCCAAACCGUUGUUCUUUUCUUCACGGCUUGCGGUGAACGGACAGAUACACAGUACGAAGUGUCGGGAGCUGCCGACUUCAUCGAAAAGUAUUACGCGAAAGAGAAUGGGGUCUUCUGGCCGGACAUAGCCUUGGUCCAUUAUGAAAAGAGAUCACUGGAGGAGGUGGACCGGCUGAAGAUAAACGUUAUAUCCAAGUCCCAUCUGUGGUAUUUCGUUUUCAAAAGAAAAUAAAAAAACACGGUAAUUUUGUGUAUUUCACCAAUGCACUUACACCAACAGUUGCAGUCCGAAGGAAGCAAGGCGUGAAUGGUGAUUGCCAGAAGCUCCGGUAACUUGGUUGGGAAGUUCUUAUGCAUUAUCUUUAUAGUCCGGAUGUUUGCAUCAUCAGCAGUAACAUCAAAUUCUGACUGCUGCGUUUGUGGCGGCAUGUAGGGCCUGUUUCUGCCAGAGGUAAAGGAACGUGCGGAUGUAGUCAUCCGCUUGUAUGGAGAGAAAGUCAUAUACGAAGAUGAAUUGAUCAGAAGGAAAGAAAGGAUUCUAUGAGAAACAGUGUGUUAAUUAUUUGGUAUUGUUAUAAAUUUGAAAGGACUUAAAUUUCUAAGUGGAAGAUUAAAGAAAAAUUAUGAAAACUAA